rnacentral:misc_RNA from 1 species
CCGAGUUAGGGUCUCCUAGGCCCGACCUCCCAACCCUUUGUUUACUGAACCACUGUUGCUUCGGCGGGCCCGUCUCCGCGACCGCCGGAGGAGCGCUGAAAGGCGUGUCCUCUGGCCCGCGUCCGCCGAUGGCCAACCACAAAACUCUGUAUAAAUCGUGUCUUUAUGUCUAAGUCAAUGAUUGAAUUAAAAGUA